rnacentral:rRNA from 1 species
UGGCACGGGGCGGGCGUGCUAUACAUGCAAGUCGAACGCUUUGUGGUUCAACUGAUUUGAAGAGCUUGCUCAGAUAUGACGAUGGACAUUGCAAAGAGUGGCGAACGGGUGAGUAACACGUGGGAAACCUACCUCUUAGCAGGGGAUAACAUUUGGAAACAGAUGCUAAUACCGUAUAACAAUGACAACCGCAUGGUUGUUAUUUAAAAGAUGGUUCUGCUAUCACUAAGAGAUGGUCCCGCGGUGCAUUAGCUAGUUGGUAAGGUAAUGGCUUACCAAGGCGAUGAUGCAUAGCCGAGUUGAGAGACUGAUCGGCCACAAUGGGACUGAGACACGGCCCAUACUCCUACGGGAGGCAGCAGUAGGGAAUCUUCCACAAUGGGCGAAAGCCUGAUGGAGCAACGCCGCGUGUGUGAUGAAGGGUUUCGGCUCGUAAAACACUGUUGUAAGAGAAGAAUGACAUUGAGAGUAACUGUUCAAUGUGUGACGGUAUCUUACCAGAAAGGAACGGCUAAAUACGUGCCAGCAGCCGCGGUAAUACGUAUGUUCCAAGCGUUAUCCGGAUUUAUUGGGCGUAAAGCGAGCGCAGACGGUUAUUUAAGUCUGAAGUGAAAGCCCUCAGCUCAACUGAGGAAUUGCUUUGGAAACUGGAUGACUUGAGUGCAGUAGAGGAAAGUGGAACUCCAUGUGUAGCGGUGAAAUGCGUAGAUAUAUGGAAGAACACCAGUGGCGAAGGCGGCUUUCUGGACUGUAACUGACGUUGAGGCUCGAAAGUGUGGGUAGCAAACAGGAUUAGAUACCCUGGUAGUCCACACCGUAAACGAUGAGUGCUAGGUGUUUGAGGGUUUCCGCCCUUAAGUGCCGCAGCUAACGCAUUAAGCACUCCGCCUGGGGAGUACGACCGCAAGGUUGAAACUCAAAGGAAUUGACGGGGACCCGCACAAGCGGUGGAGCAUGUGGUUUAAUUCGAAGCAACGCGAAGAACCUUACCAGGUCUUGACAUCCCUUGACAACUCCAGAGAUGGAGCGUUCCCUUCGGGGACAAGGUGACAGGUGGUGCAUGGUUGUCGUCAGCUCGUGUCGUGAGAUGUUGGGUUAAGUCCCGCAACGAGCGCAACCCUUAUUACUAGUUGCCAGCAUUCAGUUGGGCACUCUAGUGAGACUGCCGGUGACAAACCGGAGGAAGGUGGGGAUGACGUCAAAUCAUCAUGCCCCUUAUGACCUGGGCUACACACGUGCUACAAUGGCGUAUACAACGAGUUGCCAACCCGCGAGGGUGAGCUAAUCUCUUAAAGUACGUCUCAGUUCGGAUUGUAGGCUGCAACUCGCCUACAUGAAGUCGGAAUCGCUAGUAAUCGCGGAUCAGCACGCCGCGGUGAAUACGUUCCCGGGUCUUGUACACACCGCCCGUCACACCAUGAGAGUUUGUAACACCCAAAGCCGGUGGGGUAACCUUCGGGAGCCAGCCGUCUAAGGUGACAGAAUGGG